rnacentral:rRNA from 1 species
UACGUAGGGAGCGAGCGUUGUCCGGAAUUACUGGGUGUAAAGGGAGCGUAGGCGGGAUGGCAAGUUGGGUGUUAAAUCUACCGGCUCAACCGGUAGCCGCACUCAAAACUGCCGUUCUUGAGUGAAGUAGAGGCAGGCGGAAUUCCUAGUGUAGCGGUGAAAUGCGUAGAUAUUAGGAGGAACACCAGUGGCGAAGGCGGCCUGCUGGGCUUUUACUGACGCUGAGGCUCGAAAGUGUGGGGAGCAAACAGG